rnacentral:rRNA from 1 species
GGGAGAAGGGGCGCCCCGUGUAGCGUGAAGGACCGAGCGUCCGGAGCGUGAGGGGGCCGCAGUGACCAGGCCCAGGCGUCUGUUUACCAAAAACACCGGUCCCUGCCAACGCGGAGAGCGUGGACGUAUAGGGGCUGAGACCUGCCCAGUGCCGGAAGGUUAAGAGGAGGGGUGCAAGCUCCGAAUUGAAGCCCCGGUAAACGGCGGCCGUAACUAUGACGGUCCUAAGGUAGCGAAGUUCCUUGUCGGGUAAGUUCCGACCUGCACGAAUGGCGUAACGAUGGCCACACUGUCUCCUCCUGAGACUCAGCGAAGUUGAAAUGUUUGUGAUGAUGCAAUCUCCCCGCGGAAAGACGGAAAGACCCCAUGAACCUUUACUGUAGCUUUGUAUUGGACUUUGAACGGAUCUGUGUAGGAUAGGUGGGAGGCUUUGAAGUGCGGUCGCUAGAUCGCAUGGAGCCAACGUUGAAAUACCACCCUGGUGCGUUUGAGGUUCUAACCUAGGUCCAUCAUCUGGAUCGGGGACAGUGCAUGGUAGGCAGUUUGACUGGGGCGGUCUCCUCCCAAAGCGUAACGGAGGAGUUCGAAGGUACGCUAGUUACGGUCGGACAUCGUGACGAUAGUGCAAUGGCAUAAGCGUGCUUAACUGCGAGACUGACAAGUCGAGCAGAUGCGAAAGCAGGACAUAGUGAUCCGGUGGUUCUGUAUGGAAGGGCCAUCGCUCAACGGAUAAAAGGUACUCUGGGGAUAACAGGCUGAUACCGCCCAAGAGUUCAUAUCGACGGCGGUGUUUGGCACCUCGAUGUCGGCUCAUCUCAUCCUGGGGCUGUAGCCGGUCCCAAGGGUAUGGCUGUUCGCCAUUUAAAGAGGUACGUGAGCUGGGUUUAAAACGUCGUGAGACAGUUUGGUCCCUAUCUUCCGUGGGCGCUGCAGAUUUGAGGAAGCCUGCUCCUAGUACGAGAGGACCGGAGUGGACACACCUCUGGUGUAUCGGUUGUCACGCCAGUGGCAUUGCCGAGUAGCUAAGUGUGGAAGAGAUAACCGCUGAAAGCAUCUAAGCGGGAAGCCUGUUUUAAGAUGAGGUUUCUUUUGAGGUCCCCUAAAGACUAUGGGGUAGAUAGGCCAGACUUGGAAGCACUGUAAGGUGUGAAGGCUACUGGUACUAAUUGACCACAUAUGGCGCA